GCUGACAAGCUUUCUUGAGGAAUUGGAUGUCCUGCUGUCCUCCUUGCCAGAGGAUGGCAGGCCACUUGUGGUUCUUGGUGAUUUCAACAUACACCAGGACAAACCCCAGGCCAUUGAACUGAAUACUCUUCUGGCCUCAUUUGACUUGGAAAGACUACACACCACAGCAACUCACAGACCAGCACGGACUACACCACCCAGCCCCUGGCUGUCUGACAUCCUUCGUGAACAUCGGACUGUUCUCAGGGCAGCUGAGAGGAGAUGGCGGAAAUCUAAAGAUCCAGCUGAUCUAGCCCAACGACACCACAGUGACCGUUCGAAUCGCUGCCUGUCUGGCAGACAUCUCGGCCUGGAUGAAGGAACACCACCUUCAACUCAACCCUGCCAAGACAGAACUCCUUGUCUUUCCAGCCAACCCUGCUGUUGAACACAACAUCACCGUGCAGCUGGGUCCAACUACAGUUUCGCCUUCCACAACGGUCAGAAAUCUAGGGGUAACCAUUGAUGAUGAGCUAAAUUUCACAGACCACAUUUCAAAAACUGCAAGAUCUUGUAGAUUUACACUCUACAAUAUCAGGAAGAUAAGACCCUUCCUCUCUGUACAUGCCACACAACUGCUCGUUCAUUCCCUUGUCAUAACUAGACUGGACUACUGUAAUGCUCUCAUUGCAGGCCUUCCUGCAUGUGCUAUUAGACCUCUCCAAAUGAUCCAGAAUGCAGCAGCACGUCUGGUCUUUAAUGAACCUAAGAGAGCACAUGUUACACCACUCUUUGUCUCUCUCCACUGGCUGCCGGUUCAUGCACGUAUUAAAUUCAAGGCCCUGAUGCUGGCAUAUAAAACAGUCACUGGGUCUGCUCCAGCAUACCUAAAAACAUUUAUGCAGAGCUACGUUCCCACCAGAAGCCUGCGGUCGGCUAAGGAACGUCGCCUUGUCGUACCAAAACAAAGAGGCACCAAAACACUUUC